GCUCAGUAACACGUGGAUAACCCUGCCCUAGGGAAGGGGAUAACCCCGGGAAACUKGGGAUAAUACCCUAUAGGUUACAGAUGCUGGAAUGCUCUGUAACCCAAAGUUCCGGCGCCCUAGGAUGGAUCUGCGGCCGAUUAGGUUGUUGUUGGGGUAAUGGCCCAACAAGCCAGUAAUCGGUACGGGUUGUGGGAGCAAGAGCCCGGAGUUGGAUUCUGAGACACGAAUCCAGGCCCUACGGGGCGCAGCAGGCGCGAAAACUUUACAAUGCGGGCAACCGUGAUAAGGGAACCUCGAGUGCCUGUAAAUGCAGRCUGUUUAGAUGUUUAAAACGCACCUGGAGAAAGGGCCGGGCAAGACCGGUGCCAGCCGCCGCGGUAAUACCGGCGGCUCGAGUGGUGGCCACUUUUAUUGGGCUUAAAGCGUUCGUAGCUGGGUUGUUAAGUCUCUUGGGAAAUCUGGCGGCUUAAMSGUCAGGCGUCUAAGGGAUACUGGCAAUCUUGGAACCGGGAGAGGUGAGGGGUACUUCGGGGGUAGGAGUGAAAUCCUGUAAUCCUYGAGGGACCACCUGUGGCGAAGGCGCCUCACCAGAACGGCUUCGACAGUGAGGGACGAAAGCUGGGGGAKUAAACCCUUGUAAUACCCGGGUAGUCCCAGCCGUAAASUAUG
rnacentral:rRNA from 1 species